GCCCCCCUUGGGUGGGGCAGGGAACCUGGCACCUCCCCUUUUCCCUGGGGACCCCCGUGUUACACGGAGACCUUUGCCACAGAAUGGUGUCCUGGCCCUGCUCCCGCACCCCUGGUUCCGGCCUGGCGUUACUGAGCAACGGUGGCUGUCUUAUGGCCUGGUUCCCAUAGUACCUUGUCAGAUGUAGUAGGGAGAAAUAUUGGGGUGAGGCCAGAGGCAUGCAGGUGAAAGAACCGACCAAAGAAAGAGAAGAGAACAGAAGGGGAGACUUAUCGAAAUACUCUGCAGGGGCUGGGGCUGAGCCAGGACUGGUCUGCAUGCAGCAGGAGUCGGGCUUUUUUUUAAAGAUUCUAUUUCUGGGGGCUUUCUAAUGUGGGGUACCAGUUUGCACCAGCUAUCUGCUCGAAUUUCUGGUCCUCGUGCUGGCCUUUGACACAGAAACAUGUCCUGGCUCUUUUCUGCAUUCCUGAAUCUGGACUCCUGAGGGUGCUUGGGCUAGGAGCGACUUUUGGGGUUUCUGUGCUCUUCCUGCCGCCUGCACCGGCAGCCGAGAGAGCGGGCAGUGGCUGUGGAUUCUGUACACAGGAGACUGUUUGGAGUUUGGCCCUGCUGUCCAGUCCCCAGAGAGGAAAGAGGCAGGAAGAGAGACCGAAGCAGAUGUGUCAGCACGUGGCCUUGGAACGAGCAGGCGGCACCCUGCGAAGUCCUGGGUGGCCGUCAGUCCCCGAGGACGCCAGGGGGUAGGCACGCGGCUGGGGCGCGGCUGGGGCGUCCGGCUGCUGCGGCGCUUUGAGAGGCUGAAGUCAGGUUUCUAGAGGCACGGGGUCUCGGGCUUUCUGUCUCGGGGGGCCGGUGUGUACCAGCUAUGGGCUGGAGUCUGGCCUCAGGCCUUGACCCGCGACACAGGAACAUGUCCUGGCCGGGCUUCUGCAUUCCUGGAUCGUGGCUGGUGUUUCUGGUCACCGGUUAGUCUUCUGGCCUGUUCCCAAGAGAACCUUACAGAUGCCUUCCCUGUCCGGUCCUCCGGACCUGCCUGCUGGGCAGGGACUGUGGGCUUGUUUUUCGACCUUAUUAAAUGGCAC